UACAGAGGUCUCAAGCGUUGUUCGGAUUCAUUGGGCGUAAAGGGCGCGUAGGCGGCCCUCUUUGUCGCGUGUGAAAGCCCCGGGCUCAACCUGGGAACGGCGCGCGAAACGGGGGGGCUGGAGUUCGGGAGAGGAGCGUGGAAUUCCCAGUGUAGAGGUGAAAUUCGUAGAUAUUGGGAAGAACACCGGUGGCGAAGGCGGCGCUCUGGACCGAGACUGACGCUGAGGCGCGAAAGCGUGGGGAGCAAACAGG
rnacentral:rRNA from 1 species